GUUCACUACAAGAACGGAAGUUCAGUGACUGCCCAAAUUGAUGUUGCAUUCUCACAAUGCCCCGAACUGCAGCCUUUACCCCGAUUAGUUUUUGCAUUGCUUCGAAAUCCUCUGCUCCUUUUUCAUGAAGAAGGUGUUCACCCCGAUUACCGAAUCUACCUACAGUGUCUUUUCAGUGCACUUGAACCAAGUUCACUUCAUCGUGCCGUGUAUCCAGUCCUCACCUCAUAUUCUACUCCCGAUAAACUAGCAU